AUGCGGCUACCGCCCCCGGACCCCUUGUCCUCCCAGGUCUCAAAUGGGGAAAUUGAGGCACAGAGCGGCGGCGCGGUCUGUCCCGCGCGUGGCUGGCCCCCGACCCUGAGUCGCUCUGCCUGGGGGCCGCGAUGGUGCCCACCCAGUCCGCGCCCAGCACCUCCGGCUCAGCUCCUGGGGCCUGGAAACUGACCCUGUGCGCUCCUGGCUUUGCUUUUGUUUGACGUUGUUGUGAAGCCGACGGCUGCGCCUGUCCUUGACUGACCCCCGUGGGAGGCGGGUGGGAUGGGGGUGACCCCACGUGGCAGCCGAGAUUGGGGAGCCCACGACGUGAGGCGCUGAGAAACAGGGGGCCUGUACUCCGCAGUCGUGUCCCUGAGCCCCGGCAGGGAGAGUGACGGGUGGGGGCUGUCCCUGGACAGUGGCGCCGGCAGGGACCUUCGGGUGGACAGUGACAGUGGCGCUCUACAGCUGGGGCGACCCAGGCUCAGGGAAAGGCCGUCCCUGGCGUCGGGUGGGACCGCCAGCGGCCCCUGCAGCCCCUACCGCGGGCGGCUCGAGCCCCCGGGCGCUGUCGGUCCUUUCCCAUCUGCGCGUGGUCAGACCAGCGACCCCCUCAUCCAGGGUUUCGUUCAAUCGGCAGCAGCACCCACUGAGCACCUGGUGUGUGCUCGCACCUACCACUGAGUCGGGUGCCAGAGACACAGCGAUAAACGGAACCUUCCUGGCUGACGCUCUAGGUCGUGGACCAGAAAAAAAUUAAACCGAUGUGAUCCAUGGCAUGAGGAUGAUGUAAAGUAAUAAAGGGGGUGGGUGCAGUCCUGUCCCACCCACACUGGCUUCCGGAGGCCAGGAAGCGGGACUCACCCCCAGGAGGCACUGUGGAGUUGUGGGGUCUCAGGCUCGGAGCAUCCGCGCUCACCAGCUGGGUACUCUGCACUGAACUCCUCCCCGAGCCCUGGGCGUCUUCCUGUGAGGAGGGGGAGGAGAGGUGGUGAAGGUGUAACGAAGUCCCACGAGGGAUUGUCAGCAGCAUCAUCACCUUCGGUGCCCCGUGGAGGUCAGAUCAGCGAUGGAGCCUGUGAGAGUUCUCUGUCGCUGCGUAACGAAGAGCCUACCAAAUGCAGCAGCUUUGCAGACAUUCAUUAUCAGUUUCUGUGGGUCAGGAAUUGGAACACAGCUGAGUCCCCUGAUCAGUGUCUCAUCUGAAGGCUUUACUGGAGGUUUCCAGGUCACACCUGUGGUUGCAGCAGGGGGCCACCCUCAGUCCUCUGCCACAGGGACACCUCUACAGGGCAGCUCACAAACUAGAAGCUGGCUCCCCGCAGAGAGCGUAAGAGCAAAUGAGCACGCCCUGACCUAGCCAGUCUCUAAAAGCCCAUCUCAGAAGUGACAUUCCCUCGCGGUCCAGUGGUUAGGACUCGGCGCCACCGGGGCCCGGGUUCAAUCCCUGGUCGGGUAACUAAGAUCCCGCAAGCCAUGUGGCGCGGCCAAAGAAAACCAAACCAAAACAAAAGAAGUGACAGCCCAUCAUCUCUCGUAUUUGAUUCAUCAGAGGCGAGUGACUGGAUCCUGCCGACCUCAAGCGGAGGGGCUGUACAGGGGUGUGAACACCAGGAGGUGGGACUGUUCGGGCCAUCCUGGACCCUGCCCAUCACUGGACGUAAAUGUGGAGUGUGGUGGUCUUGGAGUCCCUGCCUUGGCUGUGCACCCGGUGGGCUGUGUGUCUCGGGGGCAUGGUUUGCCCUCUCUGUGCCUUGGUCUCAUCUGUGAGACAGGGACCCUGAUAACUCACAUCUCCCUCAGUCCAUCGGCUGUCUCAGGGAUCGAGCUGCUGCAAAUCACCUUAACGUGCCGACCUGCAAAGUUUAGAUAUCCUUAUGCUUUACAAGCUUGGGCUUUUUCUCUUUUUAGUGGAAUUCCUCAAAUAAAACCUUAAGCAGGGA